rnacentral:rRNA from 1 species
GCUUAAUUUCACUCAACACGGGGAAACUUACCAGGUCCAGACAUAGUAAGGAUUGACAGACUGAGAGCUCUUUCUUAAACUUCUCUUUAUCUUUAAUUUCUCGUUGUGC